rnacentral:rRNA from 1 species
AUCAACUUUCGAUGGUAGGAUAGAGGCCUACCAUGGUGGUAACGGGUAACGGGGUGUUAGGGCACGACACCGGAGAGGGAGCCUGAGAAACGGCUACCACAUCCAAGGAUGGCAGCAGGCGCGCAAAUUACCCAAUCCCGACACGGGGAGGUAGUGACAAUAAAUAACAAUACGGGGUCCUUUGGGUCUCGUAAUUGGAAUGAGUACAAUUUAAAUCUCUUAACGAGGAACAAUUGGAGGGCAAGUCUGGUGCCAGCAGCCGCGGUAAUUCCAGCUCCAAUAGCGUAUAUUAAAGUUGUUGCAGUUAAAAAGCUCGUAGUUGAAUUUCGGGAUCAGCAGGUUGGUCGUGCCUCUGGUAUGCACUGGUUUCGCUGUUUCCUCCUUUCUGAAGAACUGUAAUGUCAUUAAUUUGGUGUUGCAGGGAAACAGGACUGUUACUUUGAAAAAAUUAGAGUGUUUAAAGCAGGCUAAGGCUUGAAUACAUUAGCAUGGAAUAAUGAAAUAGGACGUUUGAUCCUAUUUUGUUGGUUUCUAGGAUUGACGUAAUGAUUAAUAGGGAUAGUUGGGGGCAUUAGUAUUCAAUUGUCAGAGGUGAAAUUCUUGGAUUUAUUGAAGACUAACUACUGCGAAAGCAUUUGCCAAGGAUGUUUUCAUUAAUCAAGAACGAAAGUUAGGGGAUCGAAGANGAUCAGAUACCGUCGUAGUCUUAACCAUAAACUAUGCCGACUAGGGAUCGGAUGAUGUUAAUUUUUUAAUGACUCAUUCGGCGCCUUACGGGAAACCAAAGUGUUUGGGUUC